GUGAAAUUUUUAAUGCAAGGGAAAUUCUUAAGUAAUCUGUUGAGACUAAAAAAUUUAGGUAAAAAACCAGGAUUAGAUACCCUGUUAUUCUAAAUAAUAAUGUAAAUAGGGUAGUAAAAGUUGUUCUUCAAACCCAAAGAUUUUGGCGGCAUCUUAUCCUAAUAGAGGAGCUUGUCCUAUAAUUGAUAGUCCCCAUUUUAUCUUACCCUUUUUUGUUAAGCUUGUAUACCGCCGUUGUCAGAUUACUUUAAAAGAACGUUUUCAGGAAAAAUAUUUUUCUUACUUCAGGUCAAGGUGCAGUUUAUAAAAGGGCAGUGAUGAGCUACAAUUUUUAAUAGAAAAACGGAUCUUAGGCUUAAAGCUCAGGUGAAGGUGGAUUUAUUAGUAAAUUUACUUAAGUACAGUAAAUUGAAUAAGGCAAUAGGAUGUGUACAUAUCGCCCGUCACUCUCUUCUCAAGAGGAGAUAA
rnacentral:rRNA from 1 species